UACGGAGGAUUCAAGCGUUAUCCGGAUUUAUUGGGUUUAAAGGGUGCGUAGGCGGAUCGUUAAGUCAGUGGUCAAAUUUCGGGGCUCAACCCCGUCGUGCCGUUGAAACUGGCGUUCUUGAGUGAGCGAGAAGUAUGCGGAAUGCGUGGUGUAGCGGUGAAAUGCAUAGAUAUCACGCAGAACUCCGAUUGCGAAGGCAGCAUACCGGCGCUCAACUGACGCUCAUGCACGAAAGCGUGGGUAUCGAACAGG
rnacentral:rRNA from 1 species